UCUUAGAGAUGGGGACUGCUUCUGGACAUGCGUUAAUCCCAUGCAGGUGUCCUCAGGAUACAGAUCAUCUGUGCUUCCUGCUCUGACGAGAUAGCGUGCCGAGACAGGGAUGAGCUCCUGAAGACAAGAAAGAGGCCAGGCAAGGUCAAAGAAGAGACAUGGACCAAAUGGGAUGAACCGGCGCUGCUUCUGCCUGUUUUCCAGGCUUUGCCACAAAACGAGGAGCAUCAGCAGCCUCGUCACUGGUGACGGCGAGUCCUGACAUGGCUUAGGUGGAGUGCCCUGAAGAGCUUGACGUCUGCCUGGCUUUCAGUGGCGCAUUUUCCCAGCAGCGCGGUAGUGGCAGUGCCGCUGCCCAGAUGUCCAUCCCGCUUGGGUAGGAGAGGAAGAAGCCCCCAGUCAAAUGACAACUGUGCGUUCUGGGGAUGGAGAGCGCAAUGGUAUGGGUUCGGAGCUGUGCCGGUUGAAUUAGUGCCAAUUAGUGCCAACACUUUUAUAUUGCUGAGAAAAUUAACCAAAUGCAAGAACUGCAUGCUGCUGAAACCGUGGACAUGGAGACAAGGCAUAUCUCUGAAUGUGAAGCAUUAAAGAGAGAGAAGUUGGCAGUGCAAGUGUGGACUGAAGAAUGUAACGCUUUAAAGAAGUUGUAGAAACUCUACAAGCUAAAGAGGGUUGGCUGAGAGCAGUCUACCACGAAGGCACGCGGGUGCUGUCUCACUGAAUUUCCACGUGGUGAGAGAGAGAUGCCACCUCUUAAGCAAGAGACAGGGUCUUGGCUUGAGAAAAGGAAAGGUGCUUUCUGAAGCACUGUUUAAUCUUUGAAAGACCUGAUUGCAAAACUGCAACGUCACAGAGAAGCUGAGAUUUAUGCGAGUACUGAAUCUCUGGAAGGUGUCUCAGAGCGGCAAGGAGAACUUCUGCAAGCUAUCCACCAGCUUUUUGUGAGGCAACAAAAUGUUCUUGCUGCAUUUCAAACUGAACUGGCAGAACUGGGCGGAAGAGAGACAGUGAUGUUGAUGAACCAGUUAGAGCAGAGAUGACAAGACAAGGCCACAAACCAGAGAGCAGCAAUGUACUGUCUUCAAAGCACAGACAGAAGAAGUUUGCUGAUGGAGAUUCAAGUAUCAUGUGCUCAGAUGACCAGCAAGAAAAAUAAUCCAAAGACAGAACAAGAGAUUGAUUCAAAAAGCCAAGGUGACUUCUGUGGUAAUAGAUGUCUAUUUCCAAAUGCUUUUAUGGCAAGGUGACGCUUUAGGUGGAAAAACUACUGACCGUCUUUGCUCCCCAAUUUUGAUGUUCCUGUCCUGACCGUGCAUGGUUUUCAUCUUUUUCAGUCUCAUUGGACUACUUUUGCAAAAAAUUAAGGCACAGUCUGUGUUCUUAUGACUUGUAUCAAAUCGAAAGUGAUACAAAGUUGUUUCAAUUGCUAUAAAAAUUUGGCUUCUACGUUAAGGUUAUUUUCCAUGUAGACACUUCAGUGAUUAGGUUCAAGGGCUUUGACAUCAUUGAAGUUGGAUAGUCAGCCAUAAUGAGUAAACUAAGAAGCAUUUGGAAUGACCAAGAAGCAGCUCAGAGAACAGGUAUACUUUAGGAUUAAGUAAAUGCUCACGGUCAGUGUUUUGUCACAAAAAUCUGGUUGCAAGUAUACGUAGAUGCCUAACUUGAGUUCUGGUAGUUGUAAUCCAAAUGAUACAUGUUGCUAGGGUUGUACAUGCGGCCUUUUAAGGAAGUUGAAGUGACUUACUGGAAAGUGUGAAAGGUAUACCAGUAUGGAAUGCAUGGAUUUGCUUUCA